GAUUCCGUAGUUGUAGUGGUUAUCACGUGCGCCUAACAUGCGCAAGGACCCCGGUUCGAGCCCGGGCGGAAUCU